rnacentral:rRNA from 1 species
UACGUAGGGUGCGAGCGUUGUCCGGAAUUACUGGGCGUAAAGGGCGCGCAGGCGGCUGCUCAAGUCAGGCGUGAAAGGCCUGGGCUCAACCCGGGAAUUGCGCUUGAGACUGGGCUGGCUUGAGUGCGGGAGAGGAUGGUGGAAUUCCACGUGUAGCAGUGAAAUGCGUAGAGAUGUGGAGGAACACCGAUGGCGAAGGCAGCCCCCUGGGAUGACACUGACGCUCAUACACGAAAGCGUGGGGAGCAAACAGG